CAGACUUGGUUUGUGAAAGGUGUGUUUUCAGUGCUACUUGUUCCUCUAUCAGAGAGUGGAAAAAACUCACCUCAGUAUUACUGGAGUACACUGGCACAUUUGACUUUUCUAAAAGGAGACACAGGAAUCACCACCCAAGAAAGACGAAAGGUCAGUUAGGAGCUGGAGAGAUGGUUCAGCAGUUAAGGGCACUUGGCUGCUCUUGAAGAGGGCCUGGGUUCAAUUCCCAGGACACAAUGGCAGCUCAGGACAAUUCACAACUCCAUAAUCGAUUCCAAGGAAUCCCAUGCCCUCUUCUGACCUCUGCUGGCACCAGAUGAAAUCAUUUCCUUUCACCAUCCUGCAGCUUCGUUCUUGUGGGAGAGAGGAGUUGGUGCUGUAAGGAGGUCACAGAGGGAAGAGGAGAGGAGAAACUUAUAAACACAUCCAGGUUUAAUAUGUCCACUGAUGGACAAUCCGCUAAGAGCGAGCCCUGAUUCCAGAUGUUCUGCUUGUGGUCCCUUAAAACAGUCACAUGGACCAGGAGAUCUGCUCUGACCAGUAGCUCCUCUCUGUACAUGGCAUCAUGCCCGGCAAGGUUCUUAGUUAUGUCACUGUGAUCCUGGAUCUGAACAGAGAGCUUGAUGGCAGCUCCCCAUCUUCAUCAGCCACCUGCUGACGUGGAAGUUUCUGGUUUCCUUGAAGACUCAGUUUUGUCCCACACUGUUUUGCUGCAAGCUGGGCACGUGAUGUUUUGCUGGAGGUUGGCUUGUGAGAGGGCAUGCGAUGUUUUGCUGUGAGCUCUCACAUGUGAGGGGCGUGACCUUGGUCAGCUGAGAGCAUCCGUGGGUGGACUCUGAAGAGAGGAGAUACAUAAAGGCCCCCACACAGGGAGGCAUUACUGUUUGGAUCGACGUCGCUGCGCUGAGAUUCCUGCUUCAACACUUGACUUCAUGGGAGAGACUUUCCAGACGAUCCGAGUCUGGCCGCUUUCGCCGACUUUGUCCUGAUCUUUUGAAUCCCGUUGCUGCUUGUUGUCAGCCUUUGGACUGGUCUGCUGGUGUCCUGACGACUGAGUUUGGUAAAUCCCUAAACAUUGACCCUAAUCAGCAGCCCCUUUCCCUACU